rnacentral:rRNA from 1 species
GGGGAAUUUUGGACAAUGGGCGCAAGCCUGAUCCAGCCAUUCCGCGUGCAGGACGAAGGCCUUCGGGUUGUAAACUGCUUUUGUACGGAACGAAAAGCCCUUCUCUAAUACAGAGGGGUCAUGACGGUACCGUAAGAAUAAGCACCGGCUAACUACGUGCCAGCAGCCGCGGUAAUACGUAGGGUGCAAGCGUUAAUCGGAAUUACUGGGCGUAAAGCGUGCGCAGGCGGUUUUGUAAGACAGAGGUGAAAUCCCCGGGCUCAACCUGGGAACUGCCUUUGUGACUGCAAGGCUGGAGUGCGGCAGAGGGGGAUGGAAUUCCGCGUGUAGCAGUGAAAUGCGUAGAUAUGCGGAGGAACACCGAUGGCGAAGGCAAUCCCCUGGGCCUGCACUGACGCUCAUGCACGAAAGCGUGGGGAGCAAAC